rnacentral:rRNA from 1 species
GUGAGGAAUAUUGGUCAAUGGACGAGAGUCUGAACCAGCCAAGUCGCGUGAAGGAAGACGGUUCUAUGAAUUGUAAACUUCUUUUGUGCAGGAAUAAAGUGGGUUACGUGUAACCUUUUGUAUGUACUGUACGAAUAAGGAUCGGCUAACUCCGUGCCAGCAGCCGCGGUAAUACGGAGGAUCCAAGCGUUAUCCGGAUUUAUUGGGUUUAAAGGGUGCGCAGGCGGGUUGAUAAGUCAGCGGUGAAAGUUUGCAGCUUAACUGUAAAAUUGCCGUUGAAACUGUCGAUCUUGAGUGCAAAUGAGGUAAGCGGAAUGUGUUGUGUAGCGGUGAAAUGCUUAGAUAUAACACAGAACACCGAUUGCGAAGGCAGCUUACUGGGAUGCAACUGACGCUCAUGCACGAAAGCGUGGGGAUCAAACAGGAUUAGAAACCCGGGUAGUCC